rnacentral:rRNA from 1 species
UACGGAGGGAGCUAGCGUUGUUCGGAAUUACUGGGCGUAAAGCGCACGUAGGCGGCUUUGUAAGUCAGAGGUGAAAGCCCGGGGCUCAACCCCGGAAUUGCCUUUAAGACUGCAUCGCUUGAAUCCAGGAGAGGUGAGUGGAAUUCCGAGUGUAGAGGUGAAAUUCGUAGAUAUUCGGAAGAACACCAGUGGCGAAGGCAGUUAACUAUUCGGUACCUGACGUUGAGGCACGAAAGCGUGGGGAGCAAGACGG